GCGCUUUACAGGUCCCACUCCCAUCCCAGACAGACAAGAGGAGCGGAGCUGGGAGUCUGGCACUUGCUCGAGGCCAACCCGGCGGCGCUGGGGGACAGCCAGACCCCGGACGCCUCGCUGCUGCCGCCACGGAGGAGGCCCCUCGCGGCGAGGCGACCCCCGACCACGAAGAACCCUCCCCCGCCCGAGCGGGAGGGGGGACACCCGACGUGGCUCCGCUCGGCUGUCGGCGAGGAGGGGGCGCCGAGGACACCACCAGGCGACCGCCGGCCGGCCGGCCCGCCCGCCUCCCUUCCUCCCUGCCUGGCCCGCUCCUUCUCCACUCUCAGGUCACUCACAGGUGACGAUGGGCUUGUUCUCCAUGGUGUAGAUAACCGGGGGCGUCUCCUCGUCCUCCCCUAACACCUCUUCAGUGGCCGCCGCCGCCGGGGCGGGUUCCAUGGGCGGGCAGGGCGCUCAGCCCCGGCUCCCGCUCCGCGCCAUGAGCCCGCCGCCGCCACACCUUCCCUCUGCGCUCCCAAGCACGCCCCCCCCUUUUCGACUUCAAGAUGGGAAAGCCCCUCCUUUCCCCCUCCCCCCUCCCAAACCCCAACUGGCCCCCCUCGCGCACUGGCCCCACAAAUAGAAGAGAGUUCCCGGCUCAUCCGCUUCCUGGAUCACUGGACCAGCAUUACCGCUUCCGGCAAAGGAAGGAGCAGGCGUUAAAGGGGAGGGAACGUUUGCUGUGCCCGCCGAUUAAAAAUCUUUAAAGGGGAAUGCAGACUGGGAAGAGUUGGUCCGUAGAGAAAAAACAGGGACCAACUAACCUACCACUAUGGAUUGCCCACCCCUAUACAUACCGCUUCUGACAAGAAAGGGGCUGGGCUUGUGAACAAGAGGCUUGACUUGUGGUCCACUGCUGUCUCUUAAGGGAGACACGGUUUUUCAUUCUAUUACUCUUGCUAAUCUCUCUUGAACCAUUUUAAAAUCACUUUUACAGAGCAUAGAACGGCAAGUAUUUCUGACCCUGUACUCUGUCCACACUUUUAAGUGUGGAAUCCUGAAGUUACACUUGACAAAGCUUGUGUCUCCAUAAUUAUGAUGUCCAGGAUGACUCAAAGAGGGAACUCCUCCGGAUACUGGAACCUCCAUACAGUGGUAUUUGGUCUGUAAGUGAGGGCUGGAAUUCCGUCUGCACACCAACAUCAGCAGGCUGGUGGUCCUCCUUCAGACUUGUUACUAUAGGAGCCCUAAAUUUAUCAUUUAAAACAGACUUAGAUACUUUCUUCAAUUUCAAAGCCAGCUGGUCCAUCUGUUCUGAGACUUUAGGAAAGCACUGGAAAAGGCCUAUGGCUGUAAUAAAUUGAUUGAUUGAGUGUCUCCAGGAAUUUGACAUGCAUAACAGAUAGAGAGCUGUUUAAGGCUUCUAAUGCAUGUUUUCUUUUUAAAAAGCUGUUCUCAGAUCUCUUGGGAAUUGUUGGGUAGUUGGGUUCCAAAACUAAGAAAAUAAGGAACAUUGCUGUCAUGUGCUUUAGGCAUUUGUUCUGCCUUCAUUUGGUUAGGUUAAUAAAACAGGUUGAAACUA